rnacentral:rRNA from 1 species
GUCCCAGUUCGGAUCGCAGGCUGCAACCCGCCUGCGUGAAGUUGGAAUCGCUAGUAAUCGCGGAUCAGCAUGCCGCGGUGAAUACGUUCCCGGGCCUUGUACACACCGCCCGUCACACCAUGAGAGUCGGGAACACCCGAAGUCCGUAGCCUAACCGCAAGUGGGGCGCGGCCGAAAGUGGGUUCGAUAAUUGGGGUGAAGUCGUAACAAGGUAAC